GACGAACGCUGGCGGCGUGCUUAACACAUGCAAGUCGAACGGAAAGGCCCUGCUUUUGUGGGGUGCUCGAGUGGCGAACGGGUGAGUAACACGUGAGUAACCUGCCCUUGACUUUGGGAUAACUUCAGGAAACUGGGGCUAAUACCGGAUAGGAGCUCCUGCUGCAUGGUGGGGGUUGGAAAGUUUCGGCGGUUGGGGAUGGACUCGCGGCUUAUCAGCUUGUUGGUGGGGUAGUGGCUUACCAAGGCUUUGACGGGUAGCCGGCCUGAGAGGGUGACCGGCAGCGUGGGGCGUGCGAGCGGGAGCGUACGCGGGGGGGGGGCAGCGGGGAGGGAUGUGGGACAGUGGGAGGGAGCCGGGGGCAGCGAGGCGGCGGGGGGGGUGGCGGCCUUGGGGUGGUAGCCCGCUUGCGCGUGUGAGGAGGCGUGAGGGGCGGGAAGGGGAAAAGAAGCACGGGCUAACUACGCGCCAGCAGCGGCGCUAAGAACCGAAGCGCACACGUCGGAAC
rnacentral:rRNA from 1 species